CCAGCCGGCCGGAUGGCCGCCGCCUUAGGGCGGAGGAAAGUCCGGGCUCCACAGAGAAACGGUGCCGGAUAACGUCCGGCGGGGGAGACCCCAGGGAAAGCGCCACAGAAAAUAAACCGCCAUCCGGCCCUGCGCCGGCGGCAAGGGUGAAACGGUGCGGUAAGAGCGCACCGCGCGCAUGGCGACAUGAGCGGCACGGCAAGCCCCACCGGGAGCAAGACCGAAUAGGGGCGACGCGAGGUUCUAAAAAACCUUAGAUCCGUCUCUGGAUCGUCGCCCGGGUUGGUUGCUCGAGGCGGCCGGCGACGGCCGCCCCAGAGGAAUGGCCAUCACGCGUCGCGGGUUUCCCGCGCGCCAUACAGAACCCGGCUUACAGGCCGGCUGGCAGC
rnacentral:RNase_P_RNA from 1 species